rnacentral:rRNA from 1 species
UACGUAGGGCGCAAGCGUUGUCCGGAUUUAUUGGGCGUAAAGAGCUCGUAGGCGGUCUGUCGCGUCGGCUGUGAAAACUCGGGGCUCAACCCCGAGCCUGCAGUCGAUACGGGCAGACUAGAGUGCUGUAGGGGAGACUGGAAUUCCUGGUGUAGCGGUGAAAUGCGCAGAUAUCAGGAGGAACACCGGUGGCGAAGGCGGCGACCUGGACCGGUACUGACGCUGAGACGCGAAAGCGUGGGGAGCAAACAGG